rnacentral:tRNA from 1 species
GAGAGUACAGCUCAGUGGUAGAGUGUUUGCCUAGCAUGCACGAGGUCCUGGGUUCAAUCCCCAGUAUUUCUA